GAUGAACGCUGGCGGCGUGCUUAACACAUGCAAGUCGAACGGGAAACCUAUUAUUGAAACUUCGGUCGAUUUAAUUUGUUUCUAGUGGCGGACGGGUGAGUAACGCGUGGGUAACCUGCCCUAUACAGGGGGAUAACAACCAGAAAUGGUUGCUAAUACCGCGUAAGCGCACGGGACCGCAUGGUCCAGUGUGAAAAACUCCGGUGGUAUAGGAUGGACCCGCGUUGGAUUAGCUAGUUGGUGGGGUAACGGCCCACCAAGGCAACGAUCCAUAGCCGGCCUGAGAGGGUGAACGGCCACAUUGGGACUGAGACACGGCCCAGACUCCUACGGGAGGCAGCAGUGGGGAAUAUUGCACAAUGGGGGAAACCCUGAUGCAGCGACGCCGCGUGAAGGAAGAAGUAUCUCGGUAUGUAAACUUCUAUCAGCAGGGAAGAUAGUGACGGUACCUGACUAAGAAGCCCCGGCUAACUACGUGCCAGCCGCCGCGGUAA
rnacentral:rRNA from 1 species